GCUCACUCACUCACUCACUCACUCACUCCUCAGGCAGUUCGCGAGGCUCGCUGCUUCGGCACUCGGCAGUGAGUUACCGACUGCACUCAGGCGCGCAUCGCACUCUCGGCCUUGCGAAGCAGCAGCGACAGCCGCAGCAGCAGCAGCAACAGCAGCGCAAACCCACCGGAGCGGUAGCAACGUGUCACGUAACGCGAGACAAACCCAUGCUCUUAAACUGUCAAUGAUGAGGAAGAUUGGGUGGAGAAGUGAGAGAUUUAUAUUGACGAAUGAACAAGGAGAGAAGGAAAAAACUGUUUCGUGAAAAAGAAAGACGUCAGGAUGAAGUCUGAUCCCCCCGCGGAACGGUUGGAGAAUUUUUUAAAUCACCAACGCUGCAAGAAUUAUUUUUACCACAAUCGUCGCGAUCUGCAUCAGCAGCAGGAUCAGUAGCAGAGUGCAAAAAAAAAAAAAAAAAAAAAAAUUAAAUAAAACGAUAAUAACAAUUAAAAAGAAGAAGAAAAACAAAAAGAUCGUUAAUCUAUGAAACAUAUGACAUUGACAGUGAGAAUGAGAAAUCGAUCCAAUCGAACCUGCUGUGUGAUUUAAAAAGUGCAAAAAAAAAAAUCAAAAUAAAACGUAAUCACAGAUCAUUAAACUUCGAGGGUGAAAAGCGUCCUCGUUAAGGACAGAAUCAAAACGCGUAGUGAACGAAAUACAGUCGAGUAAAGAUAAGUCUGUGAAUUAUUUUUUCGUGAUAUAAAUAGAAAAAAAAAAAGGAAAAAAUCUUAGAAAAUGGAUCACAAUGACGACAUUUUAUCAUCCGGUCAAAUGGAUUCCAGUGCCCCGUCGUCAAACGCGGCGGUCAAUCCAAGAACACCGCCGAAUUGUGCCCGUUGUAGGAAUCAUAGACUAAAAAUAGCCCUCAAGGGUCACAAGAGAUACUGUAAAUAUCGUAGCUGUAACUGCGAGAAGUGUAGAUUAACCGCGGAACGGCAACGCGUCAUGGCGUUGCAAACCGCGCUGAGAAGAGCUCAGGCCCAGGACGAGGCCAGGGUCAGAGGGCCCGAAGAACAGGUGGACCCUCGUUCGGUGGUCGUUGACGUCGCCGAUCGUUUGAUAUCGGUGCCCCAACCCGAGAGGUCGAGUUUGGAGGGUAGCUGCGACAGCAGCAGCGGGGGAUCCCCGGUGAGCAAUCACGACAGCAACGGAGGGCACAGCGUAAUCGGGGGAUCGGUUGUUACGAUACCACCCUCGCAAAAAUUACCCGCGAUUUACCCCCACGGCACCCCCCCGUCGUAUUUACCGCAGCGGCGAAACGGUGAAAACGUCGAGGUUCUAUUAGAGUACAGUACCAAACUCCUAGAGCGUUUCCGGUAUCCCUGGGAAAUGCUUCCCCUAAUGUUCGUUAUAUUGAAAGAUGCGAGAGCCGACCUUGAGGAGGCUUCCCGACGCAUAACGGAAGAUGCAACAACACGAAAAUUACUUUCAUUAUGCAUGACUACGAUCUCUUAUAGUUUAAUGUUUAUCAAUAGAUGCAAAGUAUUUGUUGCUAUAACUGUAUUUUAUAGUCAUCAGAUAGAAUUGGUUAAUUAAAAAGGCAAAACAAAUUUUUAAAAGUCAAAACGAGCGGUCAAAAACGUACCUGCAGUUAAUGCAUGCGCAGCAAUAUACAAAAAAUUCUUUACACGCGGAAGCUCAAGAAGAACAAAAAUAAAAAUGUUUGACCGUCACUUGGGAAAAAUGGCUGUGGAGUGAUUUUGCGAUUAAAUGGUAUAAUUUGACGUUUUCAAAACUACGUGAGAAUUUUUAUCGAACGCUGUUUAUAUCAUAUUCUGUUUCUUAACAUUUUACUAUUAUUUUCGUUCAAUUAUCAAUAUUGCAAGAGAUCGUUAAAAUAUCGCGGGAAUUCAACCUCAUCGCUGGAUGCGCUCAUCGUAGAUGGCAACAAGGAUGAUCCGAAGCUGGAUGAACGAAUCUACCUUUGAAGAAAAACGAACAAUCCCAGCAAAACUUUCAUUGCAUCAACUGAAGAGGAAAACAACGAUAUUUUCAUCACGGAAGAUUUCAUACUGGAUCAAACGUUUAAUCUUUAAACGUAAAGAAUUUUAAAUAAUCGAUGAACGUUAAACCAGAGAAAUUAAAAUUUCGUCACGGAAGAUGCUGGAUGAUGGAUAAAUUAAUCAAUUAAUUUCACAUUAAGUUAAACUUGUAAAAUCUCAAAAAGGAAAACUACAAUUUCAUCACGGAAGAUUAUCGAAGAUGAAUCAAAAUGUUCGUAAAUAUUUUCCUCUUUCUUUUUGCAAUAUUUUAUCUUACGUAUCAUGCAUAAUAAAAUUCGGAGUUGAAUUUUUCUCGCUCUCGUUAAACUUGUGCGAUUAAAUAAAUCAAUUAUACUACUUCAUAAAAACGUUGCGUAUCAAAUACUUGUACAUAUAGAAACGGAUCUUGUAUAUUAUCCGUAAAAUAUAACGCGUGUGUGAAUACGAGAAUUUAUUAGAUAAAUUCAAAAAAUAAAAAAAAAUAAAAAAAUAAAAAAAUGACGAAUAAUUCAUCAAAUUUUAAAAGCUGUUGAAAAGCCUUAACUUCUGUGUAUUUAUUAACGUCGCGAUUUAUGGGUAAACGGUGAUGAAGUUCCUAUUACACAGGUGUAAAAUAUUAGUUUAUACUUAAUGUUUAUCGGAGUAAUAUUCGGCAACAAACGAAAAAUGAAAAAAAAAAUAGAAUAAUCAAUUGCGAAACAUCAAUGAAGAUCGAAUUUACGGUGGUGGACUACCGAUGAACGCGAUUACGAAAAGAAUCGCGAACGAAACUGG
rnacentral:misc_RNA from 1 species